rnacentral:rRNA from 1 species
GCUAGCUUGCUAGCUUGAGACCGGCGCACGGGUGCGUAACGCGUAUGCAAUCUGCCUUUUACAAAGGGAUAGCCCAGAGAAAUUUGGAUUAAUACCUUAUAGCAUUAUAGGAUGGCAUCAUCUUAUGAUUAAAGAUUUAUCGGUAAAAGAUGAGCAUGCGUCCCAUUAGCUAGUUGGUAAGGUAACGGCUUACCAAGGCUAUGAUGGGUAGGGGUCCUGAGAGGGAGAUCCCCCACACUGGUACUGAGACACGGACCAGACUCCUACGGGAGGCAGCAGUGAGGAAUAUUGGACAAUGGGCGCAAGCCUGAUCCAGCCAUGCCGCGUGCAGGAUGAAGCAUCUAUGGUGUGUAAACUGCUUUUAUACGGGAAGAAACCCUGGGACGUGUCCCAGACUGACGGUACCGUAGGAAUAAGGAUCGGCUAACUCCGUGCCAGCAGCCGCGGUAAUACGGAGGAUCCAAGCGUUAUCCGGAAUCAUUGGGUUUAAAGGGUCCGUAGGCGGCCCUGUAAGUCAGUGGUGAAAUCUCCCGGCUCAACCGGGAAAUUGCCAUUGAUACUGCAGGGCUUGAAUUAUUGGGAAGUAACUAGAAUAUGUAGUGUAGCGGUGAAAUGCUUAGAUAUUACAUGGAAUACCGAUUGCGAAGGCAGGUUACUACCAAUACAUUGACGCUGAUGGACGAAAGCGUGGGUAGCGAACAGGAUUAGAUACCCUGGUAGUCCACGCCGUAAACGAUGGAUACUAGCUGUUCGGAGCAAUCUGAGUGGCUAAGCGAAAGUGAUAAGUAUCCCACCUGGGGAGUACGUUCCCCAGAAUGAAACUCAAAGGAAUU